UCGACACACCAACCACAAUACAAAAAGAAUUUUGCAAAAUCACCUAUUCUAAAGCCAAAAUAACAGCCAAUACAAUAAAGUGGUACCAGACCAAUUAAAAUUAUUCGAAGCAUAUAUAUAACAAUAUAAGAUGAGAUACUGCUAAGAGCUACUCACAAGAAACAGAGGAACAAACAUGACUCCAAUAACAAAAAAUAUUUUUGAUAUGAUCAUCUUUAUUUCUCCACUUAUUGUUACAAUGAGCAUGAGAGUUCUAUGCGGUAGGGAUGGUCGUUGUCCAAAGUUCAUGUGUAGGACGUUUUUGUGAGUGUUAGAAUGAUUUCAUAUAUGACAGAGUACAAGACCCAAGAGAGACGCAAAUUCUCUCGGAUUAUUCAAUGAGCUUUCAUUUAUUUAUUGUGUUGUCAUGCAAUAAUUUGAAUUUUUUUUUUUAUUAUAGUUUUUCUUAUAGUUUUGUACUCUAAAAUUAUGCUAAUGAAAUGAAAUAAGACGUCAAAAAAUAUUAUUUAGGA